rnacentral:rRNA from 1 species
UACGAAGGGGGCUAGCGUUGCUCGGAAUUACUGGGCGUAAAGAGCUCGUAGGCGGUUUGUCGCGUCUGCUGUGAAAACCCGAGGCUCAACCUCGGGCCUGCAGUGGGUACGGGCAGACUAGAGUGCGGUAGGGGAGAUUGGAAUUCCUGGUGUAGCGGUGAAAUGCGUAGAUAUCAGGAGGAACACCUGUGGCGAAAGCGGCUCACUGGACCAUAACUGACGCUGAUGCACGAAAGCUAGGGGAGCAAACAGG